AGAUUGAACGCUGGCGGCAUGCCUUACACAUGCAAGUCGAACGGCAGCACGGGAGCAAUCCUGGUGGCGAGUGGCGAACGGGUGAGUAAUACAUCGGAACGUGCCCAAUCGUGGGGGAUAACGCAGCGAAAGCUGUGCCAAUACUGCAUAAGAUCUACGGAUGAAAGCAGGGGAUCGCAAGACCUUGCGCGAAUGGAGCGGCCGAUGGCAGAUUAGGUAGUUGGUGAGGUAAAGGCUCACCAAGCCUUCGAUCUGUAGCUGGUCUGAGAGGACGACCAGCCACACUGGGACUGAGACACGGCCCAGACUCCUACGGGAGGCAGCGAGUGGGGAAUUUGGACAAUGGGCGAAAGCCUGAUCCAGCCAUG
rnacentral:rRNA from 1 species